CACAGCGCUUGGUCUGCGUGCCAUCAAACGAGCUGAAAGGCGGUGGAGCUUCGAUCCAGUGGGAAGAUGUUGUCUUAAGCUGUGAAAAAAGGGCCUGUGAGGGACCCUUGUCUGCAGCGAAGGGGCUUUGACCUGCACAAGGGUCUGCAUCGUGCUGAAACUUCUUCCCCGCRUUGGAAGUUUGUGUUGGAACUGCACAGCUGGGCAUAAGACCAGGCAACAGAUUGUUAGUGCUGAAAAAUGGGAGCAGAUUGCUUAGUGUUAUCUGCAGGAAAAGUUUUUAUUUUUGGUAGAUAGGAUGUUCUGUUAUCGAUGGUGCAGGAUUAGACCUUUGGUGCUUGUCUUGCUGGAUAGGGCUUGGUUACCGUGUGCCAGUUUCCCUGAAAUGCGGUGGGAUGGGGGCUCUGGGUGGUUUGUCACGUGUGCUGUGCCUUCACAAAUGUCUUUUCAGUGGCUGCAGGGAUGUUCAGCAAGCCAGGGCAUCCUCGAGACCUUGUUCCUCCUCAUGUCAACGAAUGUUAACAGCGUUGUUGGAUUUAGAAAUCCCACUAGGAGUUUCCUGAGCCCUUUCAGCCAAGUCCUUUGAGGAUUGAAGCUCCUCUUCCUGCUGGCUCUAACGAAGUACCCUGCAAAUCAAGGGAAGAGAAAUGCAAGAAUCAGGCCCCGAACUGCUGAGCUGAGAGCUGCUUGCCCUAAAAGAUACUAAAUUCUUUCCAGAUGUUGAGAAAUGCAGCUCAACUGUCUUCCUCUGCUAUGAGAUAAAACUUGGACCAAAUUUAUUUAAAUAUAUAUAGAACUAUUGGUGUAACUAAUGUGUGCGUGCGUGAAUUAUCCAUUCAGAUGUCCAACUUUAAAACAAACUUUAAAAUUGUAUCCACUUUAAGUCAAAAAGCAGUCAAAAGCCACAGUAUAUUUCCCAAUUUUAUUGAAUAGACACGUCAAGUCACUUUGUAAGGUGUCCACGGAGCACGUUGAGGAGCUCUGGAGAUCUCAGGGGAACGUACAGAGCAGCAGCUCUGAGCUGCUCCUGACUGCCCCGACGUGUCCCACUGAAGCUGACGUGUUAAAUGACUUCAUGUUAGUGCUGUAAAUGCGACGUGGAUCUGAUAGAAGACGACACUUCCAGUGGUGCUCGUGAAGCUUAARAAAGGCUGAUGUUUGAGA